rnacentral:rRNA from 1 species
CACGCUGGCGGAUGCUUAACCCUCCCACCUUUAACGGCAGCACGGACUUCGCGCCUGGUGGUCAGUGGCGAACGGGUGAGUAUACAUCGGAACGUGCCCAGUCGUGGGGGAUAACGUAGCGAAAGCUACGCUAAUACCGCAUACGAUCUAAGGAUGAAAGCGGGGGAUCGCAAGACCUCGCGCGAUUGGAGCGGCCGAUGGCAGAUUACGUAGUUGGUAGGGUAAAGGCCUACCAAGCCGACGAUCUGUAGCUGGUCUGAGAGGACGACCAGCCACACUGGGACUGAGACACGGCCCAGACUCCUACGGGAGGCAGCAGUGGGGAAUUUUGGACAAUGGGCGAAAGCCUGAUCCAGCCAUUCCGCGUGCAGGAUGAAGGCCCUCGGGUUGUAAACUGCUCUUGUACGGAACGAAAAGGUCCUGGUUAAUACCUGGGGCUCAUGACGGUACCGUAAGAAUAAGCGCCGGCUAACUAACGUGCCAGCAGCCGCGGUAAUACGUAGGGUGCAAGCGUUAAUCGGAAUUACUGGGCGUAAAGCGUGCGCAGGCGGUGAUGUAAGACAGAGGUGAAAUCCCCGGGCUCAACCUGGGAACUGCCUUUUGUGACUGCAUCGCUGAGUACGGCAGAGGGGGAUGGAAUUCCGCGUGUAGCAGUGAAAUGCGUAGGAUAUGCGGAG